GAGUUUGAUCGUGGCUCAGAUUGAACGCUGGCGGAAUGCUUUACACAUGCAAGUCGAGCGGCAGCGCGGGGCAACCUGGCGGCGAGCGGCGAACGGGUGAGUAAUGCAUCGGAACAUGUCCAUGUCGUGGGGGAUAGCCCGGCGAAAGCCGGAUUAAUACCGCAUACGCCCGAGAGGGGAAAGUGGGGGACCGCAAGGCCUCACGCGAUUGGGUUGGCCGAUGUCCGAUUAGCUAGUUGGCGGGGUAAUGGCCCACCAAGGCGAUGAUCGGUAGCUGGUCUGAGAGGAUGAUCAGCCACACUGGGACUGAGACACGGCCCAGACUCCUACGGGAGGCAGCAGUGGGGAAUUUUGGACAAUGGGGGCAACCCUGAUCCAGCCAUUCCGCGUGAGUGAAGAAGGCCUCGG
rnacentral:rRNA from 1 species